CAUGAAACGUAGCCGUGACCUGAGUCAGGUAGGCAGUGUAUUGUUAGCUGGCUGCUUUGGGUCAAUCUGGCAGCCACCACUACCCUGCCACUUGCUUCUGGACAAAUUCUUCUCAUUAACA
rnacentral:pre_miRNA from 12 species